rnacentral:rRNA from 1 species
GAAAUGCCGGGGGCCCAAACCCCGGAACUGCUUUCGUAGACUAUUGCUGCUUGAGUGUCGGAGACGGUAAGUGGAAAUCCUAGUGUAGCCGGUGGAAUUGCGUCAGAUUAAUAAUGAAGGAACACCACUGGCGACGGCGGGGUACUGUAUCGCCAUUUUACGUUGAGGCUAGACAGCAUGGGGAGCAAACAAGAUUAGAUACACUGCCUAGUCACACUCCGUAAACUAUGAUUACUAGGUGUCGGGGGACCAACGAUCAUAUCUGUGCCGGCGCAAACGCAUAAGUAAUCCACGUGGGGGAGGGCGUUUAGCAAGAAUGAAACUCAAAGGAAAGAUACGGGGACCGCACAACCGUUCGAUCUCGCGGUUUAUUUUGAAGCAACGCGAAGAACCUUAAUUGGUCUUGACAUCUCGCUCCCGUGUGGGCGAAGCCAUAUUUUUCUCCCCACGUCCGAGACAGGCGGUGCAUGGUUGUCGUCAGGAGUUGUGGUGAGAUGUCAGUUUAAAUCCCGCAACGAGCCCUACCCCGUUUUCCAGUAGUCGUCAUAUAAAGAAGGGCACUCCUCACCAACUGCCCGGGAUAACCGGGAGGAAGGCGGGGAGGACGUCAAAUCAUCAUUCCCCUAAUUAUCAGGCAAUCACCAAUGUUACAAUGGAGUAAACAAAGUGAACAAAAAUUAUCCCCCGGAGCCAAUCCCAGAAAUAACGUCCCA